rnacentral:tRNA from 1 species
GCUCAUUUGGUUGAGUGUCUGACUCUUGAUCUCAGCUCAGGUCUUGAUCUCAGGGGCUGUGGGUUCAAGUCCCGCAUUGAGCU